rnacentral:rRNA from 1 species
AGUGAACGCUGGCGGUAGGCCUAACACAUGCAAGUCGAACGGCAGCACAGUAAGAGCUUGCUCUUACGGGUGGCGAGUGGCGGACGGGUGAGGAAUACAUCGGAAUCUACUUUUUCGUGGGGGAUAACGUAGGGAAACUUACGCUAAUACCGCAUACGACCUACGGGUGAAAGCAGGGGAUCUUCGGACCUUGCGCGAUUGAAUGAGCCGAUGUCGGAUUAGCUAGUUGGCCGGGUAAAGGCCCACCAAGGCGACGAUCCGUAGCUGGUCUGAGAGGAUGGUCAGCCACACGGGAACUGAGACACGGUCCAUACUCCUACGGGAGGCAGCAGUGGGGAAUAUUGGACAAUGGGCGCAAGCCUGAUCCAGCCAUACCGCGUGGGUGAAGAAGGCCUUCGGGUUGUAAAGCCCUUUUGUUGGGAAAGAAAAGCAGCAGGUUAAUACCCCGCUGUUCUGACGGUACCCAAAGAAUAAGCACCGGCUAACUUCGUG